rnacentral:rRNA from 1 species
CAGUAGCCACGGUAAAACGUAGGUCCCGAGCGUUGUCCGGAUUUAUUGGGCGUAAAGGGAGCGCAGGCGGUUUAGUAAGUCUGGAGUUAAAGGCAUUGGCUCAACCAAUGUAUGCUUUGGAAACUGUUUGACUUGAGUGCAGAAGGGGAGAGUGGAAUUCCAUGUGUAGCGGAGAAACGCGUAGAUAUAUGGAGGAAUACCGGUGGCGAAAGCGGCUCUCUGGUCUGUCACUGACGCUGAGGCUCGAAAGCGUGGGUAGCGAACAGGAUUAGAUACCCCAGUAGUCCCUGUCUCUUAUACA